rnacentral:rRNA from 1 species
UACGUAGGGUGCAAGCGUUAAUCGGAAUUACUGGGCGUAAAGCGUGCGCAGGCGGUUUUGUAAGUCUGACGUGAAAUCCCCGGGCUCAACCUGGGAACUGCGUUGGAGACUGCAAGGCUAGAAUCUGGCAGAGGGGGGUAGAAUUCCACGUGUAGCAGUGAAAUGCGUAGAGAUGUGGAGGAACACCGAUGGCGAAGGCAGCCCCCUGGGUCAAGAUUGACGCUCAUGCACGAAAGCGUGGGGAGCAAACAGG